AUUGAUAAAAAUAUUAUCCCACAUAUAUGCUAGAGGAUAUGGCUCUAGUGUCUCUACCCGACACCGAAAAUGUUGGACUAUGCGGGAAAGCAAGCUGUCG
rnacentral:ncRNA from 2 species